AACGAACGCUGGCGGCAUGCCUAACACAUGCAAGUCGAACGAGACCUUCGGGUCUAGUGGCGCACGGGUGCGUAACGCGUGGGAACCUGCCCUUAGGUUCGGAAUAACUCCCCGAAAGGGGUGCUAAUACCGGAUAAUGUCUUCGCACCAAAGAUUUAUCGCCUUUGGAUGGGCCCGCGUUGGAUUAGCUAGUUGGUAGGGUAAAAGCCUACCAAGGCGACGUUCCAUAGCUGGUCUGAGAGGAUGAUCAGCCACACUGGGACUGAGACACGGCCCAGACUCCUACGGGAAGCAGCAGUGGGGAAUAUUGGACAAUGGGCGAAGGCCUGAUCAAGCAAUGCCGCGUGAGUGAUGAAGGCCUUAGGGUUGUAAAGCUCUUUUACCCGGGAUGAUAAUGACAGUACCGGGAGAAUAAGCUCCGGCUAACUCCGUG
rnacentral:rRNA from 1 species